rnacentral:rRNA from 1 species
UACGUAGGGUCCGAGCGUUGUCCGGAAUUAUUGGGCGUAAAGAGCUCGUAGGCGGUUUGUCGCGUCUGCUGUGAAAUCCCGAGGCUCAACCUCGGGCCUGCAGUGGGUACGGGCAGACUGGAGUGCGGUAGGGGAGAAUGGAAUUCCUGGUGUAGCGGUGGAAUGCGCAGAUAUCAGGAAGAACACCAAUGGCGAAAGCAGCUUUCUGGGACGGUACUGACGCUGAGACGCGAAAGCGUGGGGAGCGAAAAGG